rnacentral:rRNA from 1 species
GAUGAACGCUGGCGGCGUGCCUAAUACAUGCAAGUCGAGCGAACGGACGAGAAGAUUGCUUUUCUGAUGUUAGCGGCGGACGGGUGAGUAACACGUGGAUAACCUACCUAUAAGACUGGGAUAACUUCGGGAAACCGGAGCUACUACCGGAUAAUAUUUUGAACCGCAUGGUUCAAAAGUGAAAGACGGUCUUGCUGUCUCUUAUAGAUGGAUCCGCGCUGCAUUAGCUAGUUGGUAAGGUAACGGCUUACCAAGGCAACGAUGCAUAGCCGACCUGAGAGGGUGAUCAGCCACACUGGAACUGAGACACGGUCCAGACUCCUACGGGAGGCAGCAGUAGGGAAUCUUGCGCAAUGGGCGAAAGCCUGACGGAGCAACGCCGCGUGAGUGAUGAAGGUCUUCGGAUCGUAAAACUCUGUUAUUAGGGAAGAACAUAUGUGUAAGUAACUGUGCACAUCUUGACGGUACCUAAUCAGAAAGCCACGGCUAACUACGUG